CUGUCGUAAACCACUUUCUAAGAGCAGUGACUCCUGCACACGGAAGUUGGUGUGCCACAAUGCUAAUACGGAUAGGCAGAUUUGUUUUGUUACAGCACAGAGGACAAUAUGUUAUAACCCAAAUACUUUCGCAAUGCUUGUACCCAGUGUUUCCAAAACUUUUUCGUUAACGGAACACUUCGGACAUUCUGAGUGGAACACUUCGGACAUUCUAAAUGGAACACUUUGCUAAUUUUUUAGAUUAAUUCACGUGGUGGCCUACUCUAGUUAAUUAUUUCAGUAGUUCGUGGAACAUCUAUUCAGGCCUCGAGGAACACUGGGGCUGACUGGGGUUCCGCAGAACACAGUUUGGGAAACACUGUUGUAACUGGUUUCUAUUUUUCCUGAUCACCGACCCAUAUCCUGUACGAUAAGAAGGAAGGAUACUGUAUAUUGCAAAACCAAUUGGAGAAGACGCCUUUAUUGUCUUGGUUAUUUAUAGAUUCGUGUAUAACGUUUGUUGGGGAACCUCUGUUACGUCGACCAUCUUUCAAGUAACCAAAAAGGACUGCUUUUUUUGGCGUACGAUUGUCCCCCCUACUGGAUACGUGCCUUGCCCAGCGCAGCUAUCAGACCAUAAAAAGUACCUCUAUACUGUCCAUACCGGUUUUCGCAAGGUCAUCGCUGACUGUAGUGCAGCUUGCCACCGCCACUACAUCCUACCUGUGUUAACAGACGAGAGAAACUGAAUUGAGGAAAGAUUUUAUUUUGACGAGUAUUUGGACAUGAUGUCUGUCCACGUACAUCCGCAAGCCCUACUCACUGGUAGCAAGUCCCUUGACGUUUCUCUGUACACCUGGACCUGUCCACUGCUUAGCCAGCCCCCAUCUCUUCUAGUGUGUCAGCACGUGCGAGGUGACACGCUAUCCCAAUGACAGCCCCGACUUCCAACAAUCAGUUGCUGGAACAAAUUCAAUAAAGAAAUCUUCUAUGGCGCGACCACAUCAAUGUGCAGGCAAUGUCAUUUUCAUAUUUAAGAUACUUUAAAAAAAAAUGAAUUUAAUUAAUUGUAAGAUUAACCUUCAUUUGUGAAAAAUACUAUUUAAAAAAAACAACACUAUAUUAAUAUGUUCCAGUUUUAUAGAUUUUUAUAUUGCCC